rnacentral:rRNA from 1 species
AACGAACGCUGGCGGCAGGCUUAACACAUGCAAGUCGAACGCCCCGCAGGGGGAGUGGCAGACGGGUGAGUAACACGUGGGAACAUGCCCAAAGGUACGGAAUAUUCUCGGGAAACUGGGAGCAAUACCGUAUGUGCCCGAAAGGGGAAAGAUUUAUCGCCUUUGGAUUGGCCCGCGUUGGAGUAGCUAGUUGGUGGGGUAAAAGCCUACCAAGGCGACGAACCAUAGCUGGUCUGAGAGGACGACCAGCCACACGGGGACUGAGACACGGCCCAGACUCCUACGGGAGGCAGCAGUGGGGAAUCUUGGACAAUGGGCGCAAGCCUGAUCCAGCCAUGCCGCGUGAGUGAUGAAGGCCCUAGGGUUGUAAAACUCUUUCGUGGGGGACGAUAAUGACGGUACCCCAAGAAGAAGCUCCGGCUAACUUCGUGCCAGCCGCCGCGGUAAGAC